ensembl:lncRNA
GACGAUUCUCUCUAUCUUGAGAUACUUUUCUCCCUCCUUUGGCUUCCAUGCUUCUCCUUCUCUUUCAUCCUAUCACUUAAACAAUCUUUUUCAACUUCCUUUCUGGGCCCCUUCCAUUUUCUUAUUCCUUAGAUUCUAUUUUUGGUAUUCUUCCCAUUUAUUUAAGCAAAGAACAUUUAUGAAGUAAUUACCAUGUAUCCUAGAGUGUGAAAAUCUGAGGGAUUCAAAAGUGCAUGCAACAAAGGCACUGUCUUGAAGACCUUGACAUUUAGUAGUGAAGAAAACUUAUAAACGUAUCAUUCCAACUGAAUUAUACUAGUAUUUCUCUUUUUCUCUACACAUUCCACCCGAGUAAUUUCACUGAUCCUCAAGACUUCAAAGCCACGGUAUGUAGUGACCAUCCCUGACACUUCUUCUCUACAUCUGUAUUUCUGACUCCUCACUGGACCCCUCUUUUUGGAUGUCCUCUAGGCACUUAAAACUCAAUGUAUCACACAUUAAAUUUUCUAUCAAUUCUCCUUUAAUCCCCUCCCCCAAAUCAUUGUUUAUCUACUGGAUUCUCAGUCUUAAAUGUUGCCACUUGUGUCAAUGUUUUUCUCAAUCUCAUAACCUCUAAAUUAUCCUUGACUAGUACUUUCUAUUUCCUCUUUUAUAUUGAAUUUGUUAAAAAAAGAAGUCUGCUUAUCUUCUUUGAAAAUGGCUUCUGUGUAUCAAACCUCAUUGCCACUUUCUUAUUUCAGUCCUAUAUCACCUCUCAUCUGGACAAAUGGCAAUAGUUUCAUAUCCUAUUUCCCUACCAUGUAGACUAGUGGAAAUCAAAGGGGCUUUGGAAUCUUUCAAAAUGAUUAAAAGCAUGGCUGCACCACUGAUUGUUAAGUGAUCUUGGACAGCUAACCACUCUAAGCUUCAGUUCGCCCAUGUAUGGUGUGAACUAAUAAUCUGAACAUUUCAAAUUCAUUGAGAAAAUCAUCGUAUAAAACAAUUCCUGGCAUAUAUUAAACGCUACAAAUGUUAGUUACCUUUUCCCUUCAGUUUAUCCUGGACAACAUGUAAGAAUCUUUUCCUUUGAAAAUUCGAUUAUAUUCUAUUGAAAUCUUUGUUGACUUCACAUUGCUUAUAAAUCAAACUCACCCGGAUAUUUUAACUCUGUUUUACUUCAACCUCAUUUCUUGCCUCUCCACUCCUGGCCCCUACUAAAUUACACCAACCUUCUUACCACUCUCUUAACUUUCUCAUGCCUUACCCCUACUGUUCCUGCCCCUUCUUUGGAAAGGUCUUCUCCUACUUUUUCUCUUGGUAAAACUCCUACUCAUCUUUAAGACCCAGAUCAAAUGGCAUGUCUUCUGGGAGUCUACAGUGACUCAUCCAAGAAGAAUGCCCCCGUGCUCUUGCAUCACUUUGUUUACAGAUAGUACACUAAUUUCUUGUGACUUUUCCUAUACGGACUUUAGUUUGCUAAACAACAAUAACAAGGACAACAACAGUAAUAAUUAACAUUUAUGGAAUGCUUACGUAUCUAAGGCAUUGUGCUGUGCCCUUUAUGUUGCUGGACCUCACUAUAACGCACGCAAUGAGGUAGAUGCUACUUUAUUCCUGUUUUACAGAUGAGCAAACUGAGAUGUAAAAUGUUUGCAGUUAGUCCUAGAUGAACCACUUAGGUAGAUCUCACUUCAGAGUCUAUGCUUUUAAACAUAUAUAAUCAUUUAUUCCAAAUAUCAUAUGUUGGUUCACAAACUCCCUUGAAAAUAUGAUAAAAAGUAAUUUUAAAAUGCCAUUUCCAGAUCUAUUUGCAUUAUCAGGUGGAUCAUGGAUCCUCUGAAACACUUCUUUGGACACUGAGGAAUCCAUUAAUCUGAAAAUAAGACCUCUUUCUUUACAGAUCAAAUUUUUAAUUCUAUAAUCUGAUGAACAAAUAUUCUCAUUUUUUUUUGUUUUUAAAUAAAAUCUACAUUUCAAAUGAUAACUUUCAGUUAUCUACAUGAUGUGGCAUCUAGGGAACUUCAAAUGCCUUAGGUUCCAUGGAACAAAAUAUGAAAAAUACUGGGUUAAGAUAGUGGCAUGUUCAAUUUCUCAGAAAAUGUUUAUUUCUCUUCAUGUUGGAAAGCAAAUUUGUUGUGAACUGUACCUAACUUUCCAUCAUCAGCUUUUGAAAGGGUUAUUUACACAAUGAAGCUUGGGUCUGAAUAUUUCAAUGAGGUUAGGAUUCAAAAGAAAAGUACAAUAUAUCUCCACAACCAAGGUAAGCAGGGAAAACUACUACUUUGUAUCAUGACAACUGAGCAGCAAAUAGCUGACAGGAAUGGAAAUGUGUUGAUCCAGAUCAUUGAGACCACCCCCAGAAACAUUGGCUCAUUGCUCAAAAAUGUGAAUUAUAACUUAAUCAGUAGACAAAAUGAACAAAGUUGUGAUUAUAUAUGGGUAGCAGAGAUUGCAAAUUGGUUGCCAGUGGACUAAAUUUGGUCCACAAAUGUGUUGUUUGUCAUGCAUAAUAUUUUUUAAAAAUUUAAGCCAGUAUUUAAACGCCAGGGUAUUUGUUUUUUACAUGAAUCUCUGGGUUUCCAGCUUCACUUGAAAAUUUGGAAGCUCUGACAACACUGGGUCCAUAUCCUCACAUGGCAAUGAUUGGCUAGAACUGAACAGCAGCUGUUCCCUCUACACAGGACUUGCACUUUCCAGCUCAGCACAGCCCCCAGCAGACCCAUUUCACACAUUUACCAUACCUGCCUGUCCCCUGUUGGCAGUCGUAACCUUAGAAGACUCGCCUGGAAAUCUGAAGAGUUUAUAGCAAAUUGUUAUUUUAAAUAAUGCAUCAUGUUCUGUAAUGUAAGACAAAAUCACCUUUUCUAAAGUGAAGAUUAGAGAUAUAUACUCCUAGAUAGUCACUGAGGCUGCUAUGACUCCCAAGAAAUGGUGUAAACAGAAAAAUUCCACAUUUAAUUAUUUAGAUUCAAAUCAGUUUGACUAUGGAGAAGCAAAAGACUUGAAUUUUAGUCUACUGGUCGAAGACAAAUCAAUUCGGCAGGUAGUAGCGAAGCAGCAUGGACUCUAAGCCCUCUGUGAUGAGUACGAAAUCAAAUCCAGAAGCCUAGCAUUCUAUCAGUGAACAAGGCCCCCACAACUAGAUGUAAUUGUUAAUAUUCAUUAUCUAUAAGAAAAACAGGGAAAGGAGGAUGGGGUUGGAGUGGAGAUCAAUUUUCUUUCCAUUCUCUCUAUAUUGGCAUUAUUUAAAUUUCUCUAUCACCUUGUAAUUAGAAACAAUAAUAUGAAGAGCAAAACACAAUGGGCAAAGAUUUUAGUUCAUCACAUUUUACAAGUCUUUGUUUUCUAGUCUUUUCUAGAAAUGAUAAUGAUACCAUGACUAUAACGGUCUGGUAGGUUAUAGUAUUUCCAGUUAUUCUAAAUCCUUGCAUUUCUAUAGGGUCUUGAAGGAAGUUUCCUCUUGAGAAAAAAAAAAUUAACUAUAUCACGGUUUAAUUGUUUGUGUUGGCUAAUGAAUAUAACACUAAAUUUAUAUUCCUGGUGCUUUGUUGAAUCUUAGAACAGAGUAUAUAUUAGAGAACUUGUUUGAUUUAGGAGGACUUUGAGUCCCUUAAAUUAUCAUGGAAAAACCACCUCAAAUUUCUUUGAUGUGUCACUCAUCUUUCAGCAGCCUUGCUAAUAUUAGAGCACUUCAUUUUUUUCCAAAGCACUUUCACAUACUGCAAACCUUUCUUUAGGUAUUGCAAUUAAGUCAAUUUUAGGAUAUUUGGCCUAAUGAAAGUACAAGCAAGUGUAGCUCAAAAAGGAGGGCAACUGACCCAGGACUUUUCUUUGUGGUUCUGCAGUCCAGAGGACUGAGAGAUUUGAUAAUGAUGAUAAGUAAACAGGAGAAAUGAUAGCUAGGGGGCCCCCAGAAAUGUGACAGUUGUCAUUUAUAUUAGAUCCUUACCAUUUAUGGAUCUGCCAUUUGAAAUCUGACUAUUCACAAACUGCCCCAAAAGUUUCUGAUAUUUAAAAACUGUGAGCAUUCCGUGAAGCUCAUAAUCUAAAUUAUUUUCUUUUGAACUCUGGUAACUUGGAGAGAAUCACUUAGUAUGUGAGGCUAGUCACUCACUGGGCAUCAAUGCUGUCUGUUGUUCUCUAACCAUCUCUGCAUACAAAGCA